UGGGGAAUAUUGGACAAUGGGCGAAAGCCUGAUCCAGCAAUACCGAGUGAGUGAUGAAGGCCUUAGGGUUGUAAAGCUCUUUUCAGCAGGGAAGAUAAUGACGGUACCUGAGAAAGAAAGCCCCGGCUAACUCCGUGCCAGCAGCCGCGGUAAGACGGAGGGGGCUAGCGUUGUUCGGAAUUACUGGGCGUAAAGAGUGCGUAGGCGGUUUAGUAAGUUGGAAGUGAAAGCCCGAGGCUUAACCUCGGAACUGCUUUCAAAACUACUAAUCUAGAGUGUAGUAGGGGAUGAUGGAAUUCCUAGUGUAGAGGUGAAAUUCUUAGAUAUUAGGAGGAACACCGGUGGCGAAGGCGGUCAUCUGGGCUACAACUGACGCUGAUGCACGAAAGCGUGGGGAGCAAACAG
rnacentral:rRNA from 1 species